GUAAUUCCUGACUGGGACAAAGCUGCGAAAAACAAUAAUUCAAGGUUCCAAAAGUCACAGAUUCUCUGCAAGAUUUUUGCAGCUCAGCUGCUGUAGAAUCUAAUCCUGAUUCAAAGGUAGAGAUGUCCCCAGAACCAUUUUAAGCACUUGGAGGAGAGGAA